AGAGUUUGAUCCUGGCUCAGGACGAACGCUGGCGGCGUGCUUAACACAUGCAAGUCGAACGGUAAGGCCCCUUCGGGGGUACACGAGUGGCGAACGGGUGAGUAACACGUGAGCAGCCUGCCCUUGACUCUGGGAUAACAGUUGGAAACAGCUGCUAAUACCGGAUACGACCUUCGAUGACAUCAUCUGGAGGUGGAAAGCGCUUUAGCGGUCAAGGAUGGGCUCGCGGCCUAUCAGCUUGUUGGUGAGGUAACGGCUCACCAAGGCUUCGACGGGUAGUCGGCCUGAGAGGGCGACCGGCCACACUGGGACUGAGAUACGGCCCAGACUCCUACGGGAGGCAGCAGUGGGGAAUAUUGCACAAUGGGCGCAAGCCUGAUGCAGCAACGCCGCGUGCGGGAUGACGGCCUUCGGGUUGUAAACCGCUUUCAGUUCCGACGAAGCGCGAGUGACGGUAGGAACAGAAGAUGGACCGGCCAACUACGUGCCAGCAGCCGCGGUAAU
rnacentral:rRNA from 1 species